rnacentral:lncRNA from 10 species
GUGCAAAUUUAAGUUUAUUAAGUCAAUCACUAGUGCUACAACUACAGAAGAUAUAUUUACAACUUCAAAAUUGUUUCAGUUUUAAUAGUAUAGAAUAUCUCAAUGUAGUAUUUAGAUAUUUAGCUGCUUGUUAAACAUUAACUAAAAUGAAACACUUCCUGAACAAUGCUACCAUAUUUUUUAAAUUAAUGGACAUUAUGUGAAACUGUUUUGAAUUAACAUAAAAACUGAAGAAGUAGUACAGAAAGUUCUCAUAUACCCUUCCCCCACCUCAGCAUCCUUUUGGUAAUCACAUCUUACAUGACUGUGGUAAAUGUUACAAUGACUGAACCAAUAUUGAUACAUUCUUAUUAAUGAAAGUCUAGAGUUUGGCACAGAGGUAGAGAUGGACAAUCUUGAUGUCCAGUUUUUUCAUAAUUGUGUGUAUCCAGUGAUUAAUUUCCCAUUUGGUAGGAGGGCAAGUUUUAUCUUCAUCAACAUUGGUAUCGUAUGUUAGUGUACAUGACAUUACUUCUCCAUUAGAUGCCGGCUUCAUUUCGUGAUGUACCUGAAAUUAGACCAGCAAGGGGCCUGCAAACAUUCACAGACUAUUCAGGGUUGCCAUGGUUAUGCUGGCCCUACAGGAGCUUGACAAACUGUAGGUGGUCUUCUUAUCAGGAAAAGUUACUGAAAUCAGUCUCUUGUCCAAUCAAAGCUACAGUUAUGGCUUGUGGAACAGGGAUUGGAAGUUAGUCAGUAUCUGGUGUUGAGCUACAAUUAUUUUAAUAUUGCUUAUCUUGAGGUCAGUGCUUGUUUAGCUGCUAGAGAAAAAUUAACUUGCGGCAGUUAGAACACAGUUUAUUCUUUAAGUUUAGGGUGCAUGACUUAACCCUUGCCUGUUGUGGCCUUGAGUCCUGUUUAUAAUUUGGUAUCUCAUUGCCACAAAGAGUCCAUUAUGUCUGUCUUUUUUUUUUUUCUUUGAGACGGAGUCUCGUUCUGUCACCCAGGCUGGAGUGCAGUGGCACAAUCUUGGCUCACUGCAAGCUCCGCCUUCCGGGUUCACGCCAUUCUCCUGCCUCAGCCUCCAAAGUAGCUGGGACUGCAGGAACCUGCCACCAUGCCCAGCUAAUUUUUUGUAUUUUAGUAGAGACAGGGUUUCACCAUGUUAGCCAGGAUGGUCUCGAUCUCCUGACCUCAUGAUCCGCCCGACUCAGCCUCCCAAAGUGCUGGGAUUACAGGCGAGAGCCACCACGCCCAGCUAUGUCAGUCUUAUUAUCUCUAUUUUCACACUAAUGCUGGGCAGUUCUGUCUAAACCAUAAACAUGAGGGGGUAUAAUGAGAUGUGUCUGAACCUCCUCCCAUCUCAUCAUGGCCAGAAACUCAGUUUUAAGGUAUUUCUGGGGUCUCUUUGACUAAGGGAGGGCCUGUUCAGUCAGUGAGGGGUUAUAAUUUUAUUUUUAGUUUACAACUCCCACAAAGGCAAAGGCUGCUGAUAAACAUCUGCACUUGUGUUUCAAAGCAACACACAUACUUUUUUUUUUUUUUUGAGAUGGAGUCAAAAGACGGGGCACACAGAAAAUUCAUGCAACAUGGUUGUCCUACCACUACCUACAGCCUCUCCUCCUCAUUAAAGUGGCCUGUGGAGGGCUUAGCCCAGCAGGCUUAGAGCUUCUGCAGAAUGGGUAUCUGCUCCCUGGGAGGAUGUUCUCAGGAAAUCCUUCAUUUGCCUGCAGGGAUUUUGGGGGUUGUUUUCAAAGUGCAAGUGUGGUCCCAGCUAACAGCAGCCUAUCACCACUCUCCUCAGAUGUGUUGGUCUCCUUGAUGGACCAAAAGAAAGUGAGAAGCCACUGAGAACACAUAUACUUAUUUGGCUUCCCUUUUUUAUGUUACCCACUCCACCAUCACAUUUCCUCUUCCUCUUUCUCUCCAUCCUUCAUAUCCUCCUUAUCUUCUCCAAGAUGGAGGACAAGAAGUCAGCAAGUUUGUGCCUCAGUGAGUUAUUUCAAGGUACAUACCACUCUCCCCUGAGGCUGAUGACAUCUGCAAUCAUAUUUUAAAAGCACUGUGAGGAUUAUAUUAUGCUGUGCACUUCACACAGGUCUGUUUUUUCUCUUGAUGACUUUAGAAACCCAGAAGGGGUACAGUGGUUAAGUCAAAAAUCAAAGUUCCCCAAAACUAGCACGGAGGAUAACUGUGGAAAAGAUAAGAUAUUUUCCUGCCAAAUUUAUCUUUCAAGUUGAUUUAGAUUAGCUGUGGCAGUGUCCUUAAUUCAAAGGGGAAAACUAGAGCCUCUUCAUUACAGUUUAUAAUGGAAACUGUCAGUUAGUAAGAGAUGCCCACCUAAUACCACCUCAACUAAGGAUAUUUUAUAUCUCCCAUAAUGUACAUUGUCAGAUUUUUAUCUCUAAAUUUGAUUGGAAAAGAAAUAAACCAGGAAAGCAAAAUUUCUGUAUAAGAAAGAAGCAUGGUCUUACAUUGACAAGAUCUUCUUUACUUGGAGAUGACUUGUCCACAAGUUUCUCCAAAAGCUGGGAGGACACAGAGUGACUGUCAGUGCCUGGAGGUUGAUGAUUAUGGAUCACUCAGGGAGCUGUGCUUAAUGUGGUGCAUGGAGGUGGUGGGUUCACAUGCAUGGACUGAGUUGAUGCAGGGCCAUCCUGCUGAAUGGAGGAAGGAUGGCAAAGAGGAGGAGCAGGAAAAAAAUGAGAAACCACCGGGAGCCAGGAAGGACAGGUUUCCCCUAGAAGCAUCAGAGGGAACCUGGUCUUGCCUAUGAAUUUUGCACUACUAGCUCCGAGAACUGAGACAUUUCUGUUGUUUUAACCCACCCAGUUUGUGGUCCAUGUGAUUUCAGGCCUAGGACGCUGAUACACCAAGACAAAUCAAUAUACCUAUAUUUUGAAUUUGCAUGCAUUUAUUUCAUGUAUACCCCUAAUAUUUCCACAAUUGUGAUUAUUUUUCUGUUUAUCUUUCUAUAUUUUAUAUACCAU